UCCUCCCGAGUAGCUGGGAUUACAGGCGCACACCACCACGCCUGGCUAAUUUUUUUGUAUUUUUAGUAGAGACAAGGUUUCGCCAUGUGGACCAGGCUGGUCUCGAACUCCUGACCUCAAGUGAUCCGCCCGCCUCAGCUUCCCAAAGUGCUGGGAUUACAGGUGCAUCUUCCCGAAACCUGAAGAAAUUUAUAGAAAGCUUGUCUAGAAACAAGAUGUUGGACUAUCCCACCAUCGUUAUAUAUGCCAUGAUUGGAAAUGAUGUCUGCAGUGGGAAGAGUGACCCAGUCCCAGCCAUGACCACUCCUGAGAAACUCUACUCCAACAUCAUGCAGACUCUGAAGCAUCUAAAUUCCCACCUGCCCAAUGGCAGCCAUGUUAUUUUGUAUGGCUUACCAGAUGGAACCUUUCUCUGGGAUAAUUUGCACAACAGAUAUCAUCCUCUCGGCCAGCUAAAUAAAGACGUGACCUAUGCGCAGUUGUACUCCUUCCUGAACUGCCUCCAGGUGAGCACUCACUGGCUUGCUUCAAGGCCCGCUUACCUACCCUGUUCCUCUGUAAUCAAAGUGUUUUCCCGCUCUCAGGUCAGCCCCUGCCACGGCUGGAUGUCUUCCAACAAGACGUUGCGGACUCUCACUUCAGAGAGAGCAGAGCAACUCUCCAACACACUGAAAAAAAUUGCAGCCAGUGAGAAAUUUACCAACUUCAAUCUUUUCUACAUGGAU
rnacentral:sRNA from 1 species